GAAGAAUUGGUGAUUCACACGAAUCGUUUUGUUGGUUUGAACAAAACCGAAUCACUUAAAUGAUUCGUACCGCACGUUACACGUUCAGCGUGCGCUAUGUUUGGCAGUUUGAACUUUUGUCCACAGAUAUCUUCAGAAAUUCGUUUCUGCGUCGCUACGUGGGGACGAUAUCUGGCGGACUCGGACGUCACCGGAGGAGCAUGAAGAUGCGCGUCAGUGUCGGACACCUGGCUGCCCUCCAUCUAACCGCCGGCUUCUUUAUUGUAGCUUGGUUGGUCCCAGAUAUUCCGUCAGCAUCAGACUGUCAAAAUAUGCCAUCAUGUGAAAAUUGCUCUUCAUUCCCAGGAGGAGUGGAUGACUUAGAUUGCUUUAUAAAGACUAAAUGGAUGUGUACAUGGAAGCAUGAAAAUCGUGUUAAAACCUCCAAAUACAAACUUGUUUUAACACAACUCAGCAAGACAAAGAUAUCUAGGUGUUUACAAUUCAAAAAUAUUUCUGAGACAUUUUUUAAGGGCAACUAUUUGAUAUCAAAACUACACACAAGCGCCUGUCUUUUUAACGAAGAUGGAGAUAGGAGAAGCUGCACAAUGUUUCAAAGUCCUUCAUCACAAAUGACUCGGUGUGGUCCUCCUGAUGUCAGCUUCAUCCGAACCUCAGGACAGCUUCAUAUUAAGACCAACUUGAACGGGCCUGAAUUUGAUCAUUACACUGUGAGUUACAGUGAGCACAAUGUGCCUUCAUGGAAAACAGUGUUAUGCAAGCUUGUGCAACAAUGCACUAUAGACAAUCUUACCCAAUCGCUGUCAUAUGAUGUAAAAAUACAGUGUGUCACAACUAAGGGCUGUUUCCAGUGUGCUCCAAGUGAAACUUUCAGAAUCCCUCAAGAGCUUUCCAUAGCACCCAAAAUAUUGCAGCAAAAAGAUGAACUGCAAAACGGAACAAGAAAACUAACCUUAUACUGGCAGCCUCCAAGCUCUGCUGAUGUGGAAAACUACAAAGUGAAUGUGGGAAAAGCAUCAAAUGAGAUCAAUCACACUUUCAUCACAAGCAGAAAGGACACACAAAUCAUACUUAUCCUCUCUUCUUCAGCAUAUAAUGUCAGCAUUUAUGCAAGUAAUGAUGUCUCAAACUCGACAUCCACACAUGUUGCCAUACCUGCUCUGGAGAAUGUAGGAAGAAAUGGACAGUUGAAUGUCGAAUUUACAGACAGUCACACAUUUAAUUUGUUGUGGAGCGCUGGCUUGGAGAAUCUAUAUGAAUGUUAUUGCGUGGAGUGGUUUUUCAGAGGAGAAAAUUUGACUUCCUACAGAUCAUUCUCAUCCAAUAGCAAUAAGAAGACAAUCAGACUGAUAAGGGAACCACAUUUCAAACCGUACAAGAGGUACACAUUUUUGCUACAUGUAAGACCGGACAAGGACACCUGCAACCUUAAGCAAAUCAACAACAGCGAGAGCACAUACGGACGAAAAGAAGCAUACUUUGAAGAAGGAAGUAAGUCAGACUCCAGAUUUCCAUCACAGCACACUGAUUGA
ensembl:lncRNA